UCCCUCUUCUUUGCGGCAACCCCUGAGAUAUCAGAACACUGCUAUAGUGUCAACCCCAGUCCUUUUAAUUAAACAUCUCCAUCGUAUGUAUGUAAAUCUUACAUUUAUUUAUUUAUUAAUUUUGGUUAUUUGUUAAAUUGAUUUGCUGCUUGUGUCACUGUAGGCAUACUCUAGGCAUUCAUCACAUAUUUACCCAAAUAAAAACUGUUAACAGUUAGAUCCUCCCAGUUUUCUUUAAGUCAUAUCCUAAAUUUUUAAAACGUAACUAAUCUUUUAAUGCAACCUUUACUAACUUUAAAAGACUCUGUCUAGGAAAAAAUAGAUCUUCUUCUCUCUGAAACAGCCUAAGACUGGUGAUGAGCUGAAUUAAAUGUUGCCCCACAAGCACAGAGUAAACUGUCAAGUUUGGAAGCAUCUGGAGAGGACCACAAUUAUCUCACUCCUGGCCUAAAUUAGGGUAAAAUGGAUUUGCUAUAAAAUUAACAAAAAUCUGGACUGAAGAUAGAAAGCAAAAGUAAGACAAAUCAUUAUAUAUAAGAGUAAAAGUACUUGUAAGUAUGUUACAUUUAUAGGAAAUGACACUAUGAUAAUAGUUUUUGAGGGCUUCUGGUAGUUUACCAAAGGUGUAAUGACAACUAUCCCAUUUUGCUAUAAGCAAUGUGUAAAGAAUAAACUCCUGUUGGCGAGAACAUGUUCUAGGAAAACAGAGUGAGAAGAGUCAUAGUAAUGCAUGGUGGCUUUGGCAGCAAGAUUGUUGGAAAUUUGUGUUCCCAUCUAAUUUCUGAUUUCUGAAGAUCAUUUUCUCCUCAUGUACCAGAGUCACAUUAUUUCCAUCAGAAAGAAAAGUGUUUUUACAGUUUGUGGGGGUAAAGAUGCUCUCUCAUGUUUAUGUACUAACAUUUUAUAUUUAAAGCAAUGUAUUUAUCUCAUCUUAGGACUUUUCCAAAGAUGGAUGGAGGCAAAGCAAAGGUUUCUUCAGAUGGGGAAAUGCCUUGCCCACAAGAUUUAUAAAGCUGUAGACUUUCAAAACAAAACAAAACAAAAACCCGUAGUUUUCACUCAUUUCAAGCAUGCACCGUUGAAGCCAGAAAUGGAUCAGCUUAACUAUCAAACAGGAAUGAUAUCAAAGAGUGCAGGGCUGAUCUUGAAGUAGAGCCAAUGAGAAAUCGGAGAACAAUUGUAAGGGGGCAGUGAUAGGCUAAAGAAGGAAGGCAAAUGAACUAAAAAUCAGUUCACUUAAGGCAAUGAUGAUUGUGGCAAUGGUGAUCUUUUCUCAGCUCACUUUGAUGCUCCAGUAAUGCAGUUUGGAAGGCACAACAGUGAUUUCACCCAGCAUCUUCCCAUCCAUAAACUUUCUGUUUGGGCAUCUACAAGAGACUCCCUUUGAAGAGUAUUUGGAAAACAAGCUUGAGACAAACACAGCAACCAGACUCCUGUCCAAGGCUGCCCAUCAAGGUCCUACAACAACUAUCACAACUUUUUAGAUGUCUAAUGUGUUUCUGAACUAUGUAACAUUGAUGAGUAAAAGCUCCAGAGGAUUUGGAAAAAGGUUAUUAAAAAAAAAAUCCAAACACAUAUUCUCUGUCUUGCCUGAAGACACCCUGAUGUUUCCUUUUCCAUCUGCACCCAUCUUCUGAAGGUGUAAUGACAAUAUCUAGAACUUUCUCAAUUGCAGCACUAGCCUUGGAGACAUGUUUUUUGUCAUUCACGUUAUGAUAU